UCCGGAGAGGCAGCCUGAGAGACGGCUACCACGUCCAAGGACGGCAGCAGGCACGCAAAUUACCCAAUCCCAGCAACUGGGGGAGGUAGUGACGAAAUCUAACGAUGCGGGCGCCCUUUUUGGGGCCCCGCAAUCGGAAUGAGCACUUUCUAAACAACCUGUUGAGAACCUACUGAAGGGCAAGUCUGGUGCCAGCAGCCGCGGUAAUUCCAGCUUCAGCAGCAUCUAUUAAAGUUGCUGCGGUUAAAAGGCUCGCAGUUGAAUGUCAGUAUCGAGCGCAGGUCAGGUGGACGCUGGGGCGUGGGAACACAAGGCGCGGUACGGGCCCUUGCCUCGCGCUUGUGGUACCGGCCGUGUCUCUCACAUACCCCCGUCCGUUACAAGCCUCCUCGCUCGCGUACAUAUCGGAAUUGGUCAAACGGAGUGUGCGCAGUCCCUCUCCGCCCUCGUCCUCGGGCCGCGUUCGCGCGUGUCGGUUGGCGGGUGUGUGUGCGGGGGCUCGCACGUUAAGCUCCUUCGGUUCCAUGGUCACCUUGAGUAAAUCAGAGUGCUCAAAGCAGUCGUAGGGGCCUUGCGCCCUGUGAACAGUCUUGACGGACUGACUUGGUUUUGCAUGGCAUGUCGGAAGACGACGUCGUGUGCUGGCUCAGAGAUGAUCAGUGGUGCAAGCCAGCCUCGACGUACUGAUUAACAGGGACGGUCGAGGGCAUUGGUAUUGCGAGGCGAGAGGUGAAAUUCUAUGACCCCCGCAAGACCUCCUGAAGCGAAAGCGUCUGCCAAGGACGUUUUCAUUAAUCAUGAACGAAAGUUAGAGGAUCGAAGNNNNNNNNNNNNNNNNNNNNNNNNNACCNUAAACGAUGCCAACCAUCAAUCCGCGCGUAGCUCCCAUCUUAACGGGCUCGGCGGGCAGCUCCCCACUCACGGGAAACCAGAGUCUCUGGGUUCCGGGGGGAGUCUGGUUGCAAAGCUGAAACUUAAAGGAAUUGACGGAAAGGCACCACCAGGCGUGGAGCCUGCGGCUUAAUUUGACUCAACACGGGCCAUCUCACCAGGCCAGCACUCUUGUACGAUUGACAGAUUGAGAGCUCUUUCUCGAUUCAGUGGAUGGUGGUGCAUGGCCGUUCUUAGUUGGUGGAGUGAUCUGUCUGGUUAAUUCCGAUAACGAACGAGACUCUCCCCUGCUAACUAGUCGGCUGGAUCUUUAUCGGUGAGUUGUGUGCCGGGAAAACCUGGGUGCGGGCGCGUGGGGUUGCUGCGGUUCUACCAAGGCACUCCCGUGGUUCGUAUCUCGGGCCUCGGGCCACACACUCCAAGUCCGCCGCUUAUUGUAUAACUCUUCUUAGAGGGAUUCACGGUUCUGAAGCCGUCAGAGACUGAGAGCAAUAACAGGUCUGUGAUGCCCUUAGAUGCUCUGGGCCGCACGCGCGCUACAAUGCCGGGCACAGCAGGUGUUUCUCCUGCUCCGACAGGAGCAGGUAACCCUCUGAAAGCCACUGUUUUUGUCGAGUCUGACUCGAAAGGCGUGCUUGGGCCUGGGGCUUGCAAUUCUUUCCCACCAACGAGGAAUGCCUAGUAGCGGCGGGUCACUGAGCCCGCUGUGACUCAGUCCCUGCCCUUUGUACACACCGCCCGUCGCUACUACCGAUUGGGUGUACCAGUGAGAGCCUUGGACUGGCGUCCGUUGCCUUCGGGCAAGCGGGUCCGACGGAAAGAGGUCCGAACUGGUGCACUUAGAGGAAGUAAAAGUCGUAACAAG
rnacentral:rRNA from 1 species